UUGCUUCAGCUGUAAAUAUACUAAAACUGGAACAAGGUGGAGAAGAUUAGCAUGGCCCCUGUGCAAGGAUGACAUACAAAUUCCUGAAGCAUUCCACAUUUCU